rnacentral:rRNA from 1 species
CGUCAAAUCAUCAUGCCCCUUAUGUCCAGGGCUACACACGUGCUACAAUGGUAGGUACAAUAAGAGGCAAGACCGUGAGGUGGAGCAAAACUUAUAAAGCCUAUCUCAGUUCGGAUUGUAGGCUGCAACUCGCCUACAUGAAGCUGGAGUUGCUAGUAAUCGCGAAUCAGAAUGUCGCGGUGAAUACGUUCCCGGGCCUUGUACACACCGCCCGUCACACCAUGAGAGCUGGUAACACCCGAAGUCCGUGAGGCAACCGUAAGGAGCCAGCGGCCGAAGGUGGGAUUAGUGAUUGGGGUGAAGUCGUAAACAAGGUAGGCGUAGGAGAACCUGCGGCUGGAUCACCUCCUU